rnacentral:rRNA from 1 species
UACGAAGGGGGCGAGCGUUGUUCGGAUUUACUGGGCGUAAAGGGCGCGUAGGCGGCGGGUCAAGUCGAGUGUGAAAGCCCCGGGCUCAACCUGGGAAUUGCGCUCGAGACUGGUCUGCUUGAGUUCGGGAGAGGAGAGUGGAAUUCCCAGUGUAGAGGUGAAAUUCGUAGAUAUUGGGAAGAACACCGGUGGCGAAGGCGGCUCUCUGGGACGGUACUGACGCUGAGACGCGAAAGCGUGGGUAGCAAACAGG